rnacentral:rRNA from 1 species
AUUGAACGCUGGCGGCAUGCUUUACACAUGCAAGUCGAACGGCAGCACGGGUGCUUGCACCUGGUGGCGAGUGGCGAACGGGUGAGUAAUGCAUCGGAACGCAUCCAAUAAUGGGGGAUAACGCACCGAAAGGUGUGCUAAUACCGCAUACGCCCUGAGGGGGAAAGUGGGGGACCGUAAGGCCUCACGUUAAUGGAGCGGCCGAUGCCUGAUUAGCUAGUUGGUGAGGUAAAGGCUCACCAAGGCGACGAUCAGUAGCUGGUCUGAGAGGACGACCAGCCACACUGGGACUGAGACACGGCCCAGACUCCUACGGGAGGCAGCAGUGGGGAAUUUUGGACAAUGGGCGCAAGCCUGAUCCAGCCAUGCCGCGUGAGUGAAGAAGGCCUUCGGGUUGUAAAGCUCUUUCGCAAGGAAAGAAAACUUAUCCCCUAAUACGGGAUGAGGAUGACGGUACCUUGAUAAGAAGCACCGGCUAACUACGUGCCAGCCGCCGCCGUAAUAC